AUGGCGGCGGCUGCGGCGGCGACGACGGCGGCGGGGGAUGGGGAGCUGGAGUCGCUGCUCCGGAACUUCCACCGCUUCUCCCAGGGGUAUAAAGAUGCACUAGCUGAGGCCCAGGCUUUAAGAGUGAACUGCAGUUCUGAAUCCAAGAAGCGUGAAGCUCUUGAGUCGCAUAUAACAGAUCUCAAGAAAGAUAAUGAGCGGUUAAGGAGGCUGUACACGGAAACUUUAUUCAAGUUCACCAACCAGAUUAAAUAUCACACAGAAGCUCAAAGUCUGAAGGAAGAAUUAGGAAAAGCAAAUAGCAGAUUGCUAUCCAUGGAAGAGGAGCAUAAGAGGGAGGUCGAGCAACUUAAGCAUGACAAUGAAAUGAACUGCAAUGCCCUGGAGAGCAAGCUCAGCUGUGCUCUUGUUCAGCAAGCUGCGGAUGAGGCUGCGAUAAAACAACUCAAGUUGGACCUGGGUGCUCAUAAAGCUCACAUUGACAUGCUAGGUAGCAAGUUGGAGCAGGUCACUGCUGAAGUACAUAUGAAGUAUAAAAACGAUAUCCAGGAUUUGCACGAUGUGAUCAUGGUGGAACAGGAGGAGAAAGACGACACGCAAAGGAAGCUUAAAACUGCAGAGAAUGAGCUGAGGAUUCUGAAGAUGAAGCAGGCAGAGCAGCAAAGGGACUCGGUCUCGGUCCAGCACGUGGAAUCGCUGAAGCAGAAGGUGAUGAAGCUCCGGAAGGAGAACGAGUCGCUGAAGCGGAGGCUGGCGAGCUCCGAACUCGAUUGCUCAUGA
rnacentral:rRNA from 1 species